UACGUAGGUGGCAAGCGUUGUCCGGAUUUAUUGGGUUUAAAGGGUGCGUAGGCGGUCCUAUAAGUCAGUGGUGAAAUACUCUAGCUUAACUAGAGGGGUGCCAAUGAUACUGUAGGACUUGAGUACAGAUGAGGUAGGCGGAAUUGACGGUGUAGCGGUGAAAUGCAUAGAUAUCGUCAAGAACACCUAUAGCGAAGGCAGCUUACUGGGCUGUAACUGACGCUGAGGAGCGAAAGCAUGGGGAGUGAACAGG
rnacentral:rRNA from 1 species